UGUUGUUGUUGUUGUUUUAUAAACAAUCAAUCAAUCAAUUAAUUAUGAUCAACAUUCUAUAUGGAUUCUAUUCCCAGAUCAACAAUUAAAUCGUCAUCAUCAUCAUCAUCAUCACUCGGUUAUCAGUCAUAGAAUAUAACGAUAUUUUGUUCAUUAAAAUAUCGACCAAUUAUCGGUAUUCGUUCAUGGAAACGUACACCAAGUACGCUUAGGAAGCAGCCAAUCUAUUUCAAUAUUUAUGGAGCGA